rnacentral:lncRNA from 1 species
CGUGAAGCCAUCUUAAUCUUGCAUAAACAAUGAGCUUUCUAAAAUUCUCUUUUAAAAUCUAAUAUUCAAAAUUAUAUUUUUAUCAAAAUUUAAUCAUAAUUAUUUUUAAAAUAAAAAUCUUAAAUUUCAAAAUCCUCAUAGGGUUGGCUAAGCGAUGAUGACUGAUAUCUCAAAUGAUUCAAUCAAGAGCAUCCAAUUGAUUAACUACAAUUCAAGGGUUAUGUUGGGAUGUAAUUGAUGAUGAAAUUUAAUGAUGCUCAGUUCGAUCAAAGGAGGGUUGAUAGGCUAUCUGACAGUCAUUAGCCAAGAUCAUUUCAUUAGGGUCUAUCAAGAUUAUUAAGUCUUUUGGAAGAUCCAAAAAAUUCUGAAAGAGAGACACAAUCUAGAGAGAGCCACUGUUAGAGAGAGAAAUUAAGAGAGAGAACAUGAUUUUUCUAAAGAGAGUAAAGAGAGAAAUUAGAGAGAGAAAGUGGGAAU